GGUAAACACAUGGUAUUGACCACCGUUCAACUACUUCGGAUUACUCUAAAACCCGACUUGGUUGUUCUGCUGGUGAUUGCUCUUCCCCAAGCAUUGAUGACCGCCACUAUUGUUAUCGUGACUCUGGAAACCGGCUCCUGAGCCGCCUGAACUCUCAGCCUUAACUUGCAAAACCACCAUAUGAGCCAGCACCUGACCCACCGGCACCGGGAUGACCCAGGUUGCCCCCGUU
rnacentral:lncRNA from 1 species